rnacentral:tRNA from 1 species
GGGCGGUUAGUUCAGUGGCUAGAACAUUUCGUUGACACCGAAAAGGUCAGUGGUUCAAUUCCACUACCGCCCA